CUGAGUACGGCGGAACACGUGAAAUUCCGUCGGAAUCCGGGAGGACCAUCUCCCAAGGCUAAAUACUCCCUAGUGACCGAUAGUGAACCAGUACCGUGAGGGAAAGGUGAAAAGCACCCCGGAAGGGGAGUGAAACAGUUCCUGAAACCGUGUGCCUACAAGUAGUUAGAGCCCGUUAAUGGGUGAUAGCGUGCCUUUUGUAGAAUGAACCGGCGAGUUACGAUUUGUUGCAAGGUUAAGCGGAAAAAGCGGAGCCGUAGCGAAAGCGAGUCUGAAUAGGGCGCAUAAGUAACAGGUCGUAGACCCGAAACCAGGUGAUCUACCCAUGUCCAGGAUGAAGGUAAGGUAAUACUUACUGGAGGUCCGAACCCACGCACGUUGAAAAGUGCGGGGAUGAGGUGUGGGUAGCGGAGAAAUUCCAAUCGAACUUGGAGAUAGCUGGUUCUCUCCGAAAUAGCUUUAGGGCUAGCCUCGAGGUAAAGAGUCAUGGAGGUAGAGCACUGUUUGGACUAGGGGCCCUUCUCGGGUUACCGAAUUCAGAUAAACUCCGAAUGCCAUGUACUUAUACUCGGGAGUCAGACUGCGAGUGAUAAGAUCCGUAGUCGAAAGGGAAACAGCCCAGACCACCAGUUAAGGUCCCCAAAUAUAUGUUAAGUGGAAAAGGAUGUGGGGUUGCUUAGACAACCAGGAUGUUGGCUUAGAAGCAGCCACCAUUGAAAGAGUGCGUAAUAGCUCACUGGUCGAGUGACCCCGCGCCGAAAAUGUACCGGGGCUAAACAUAUUACCGAAACUGUGGAUGAACCUCUUUAGAGGUUCGUGGUAGGAGAGCGUUCUAAGGGCGGUGAAGUCAGACCGGAAGGACUGGUGGAGCGCUUAGAAGUGAGAAUGCCGGUAUGAGUAGCGAAAGAAGGGUGAGAAUCCCUUCCACCGAAUAUCUAAGGUUUCCUGAGGAAGGCUCGUCCGCUCAGGGUUAGUCGGGACCUAAGCCGAGGCCGAUAGGCGUAGGCGAUGGACAACAGGUAGAGAUUCCUGUACCAGUGCUAAUUGUUUAACCGAUGGGGUGACACAGAAGGAUAGGGAAUCGCACGAAUGGAAAUGUGCGUCCAAGCAGUGAGUGUGAGAAGUAGGCAAAUCCGCUUCUCGCGAAGCAUGAGCUGUGAUGGGGAAGGAAAUUAAGUACGGAAGUUCCUGAUUUCACGCUGUCAAGAAAAGCCUCUAGGAAGAGUAGUACUGCCCGUACCGCAAACCGACACAGGUAGAUGAGGAGAGA
rnacentral:rRNA from 1 species